GACGAACGCUGGCGGCGUGCCUAAUACAUGCGAGUAGAACGCUGAAGGAGGAGCUUGCCCUUCUGGAUGAGUUGCGAACGGGUGAGUAACGCGUAGGUAACCUGCCUGGUAGCGGGGGAUAACUAUUGGAAACGAUAGCUAAUACCGCAUAACAGUAGAUGUUGCAUGACAUUUACUUAAAAGGUGCAAUUGCAUCACUACCAGAUGGACCUGCGUUGUAUUAGCUAGUUGGUGGGGUAACGGCUCACCAAGGCGACGAUACAUAGCCGACCUGAGAGGGUGAUCGGCCACACUGGGACUGAGACACGGCCCAGACUCCUACGGGAGGCAGCAGUAGGGAAUCUUCGGCAAUGGACGGAAGUCUGACCGAGCAACGCCGCGUGAGUGAAGAAGGUUUUCGGAUCGUAAAGCUCUGUUGUAAGAGAAGAACGAGUGUGAGAGUGGAAAGUUCACACUGUGACGGUAUCUUACCAGAAAGGGACGGCUAACUACGUG
rnacentral:rRNA from 1 species